GUUGGGUACACUGGUGUAUGCCUGUAAUCCCAGCAGCUUGGGAGGCUGAGGCAGGAGGAUUGUGAGUUCAAAGCCAGCCUCAG
rnacentral:sRNA from 1 species